CCUACGGGAGGCAGCAGUGAGGAAUAUUGGUCAAUGGGCGCGAGCCUGAACCAGCCAAGUCGCGUGAGGGAUGAAGGUUCUAUGGAUCGUAAACCUCUUUUAUCAGGGAAUAAAGUGUGGGACGUGUCCUCUUUUGUAUGUACCUUAUGAAUAAGGAUCGGCUAACUCCGUGCCAGCAGCCGCGGUAAUACGGAGGAUCCGAGCGUUAUCCGGAUUUAUUGGGUUUAAAGGGUGCGUAGGCGGCCUUUUAAGUCAGCGGUGAAAGUCUGUGGCUCAACCAUAGAGUUGCCGUUGAAACUGGGAGGCUUGAGUAUGUGUGAGGCAGGUGGAAUGCGUGGUGUAGCGGUGAAAUGCUUAGAUAUCACGCAGAACCCCGAUUGCGAAGGCAGCCUGCCAGGCCAUGACUGACGCUGAUGCACGAAAGCGUGGGGAUCGAACAGGAUUAGAUACCCCUGUAGUC
rnacentral:rRNA from 1 species